CACGUAGGGCGCAAGCGUUGUCCGGAAUUAUUGGGCGUAAAGAGCUCGUAGGCGGUCUGUUACGUCUGCUGUGAAAACCCGGGGCUUAACCCUGGGCUUGCAGUGGAUACGGGCAGACUAGAGGCAGGUAGGGGGAGAAUGGAAUUCCCGGUGUAGCGGUGAAAUGCGCAGAUAUCGGGAGGAACACCAGUGGCGAAGGCGGCGAUCUGGGAAGAUACUGACGCUGAGGUGCGAAAGCGUGGGGAGCAAACAGG
rnacentral:rRNA from 1 species